UACCAUCUCACGUAGACUAAACCCGUUUUUCUUGAACAUCCCAUGGAUGUCAUGGACCGUCUGGUUAGGCAUGGGGACGUUUCCUUGGACUUUAUGUGCUUUGGAUUCGAGUCCGUCCUUACGACCAAGCUUUACGUCGAAGUAAGGUCCUCCUACCAUCGUGACAAGGUCACGCGUAGCCUGCGCUAAAAUAUCAGCGCAUGAUACCACACCGGGACAAGACAGCUCGAGAGCUGUCUUGAUGCGAUUCACAAUGUCAAAAGCAUCUCCUGGGAGGGAUUCGUUGAGAUCAUCAUCACGUUCCGCUUUGUUAAACG
rnacentral:lncRNA from 1 species